rnacentral:rRNA from 1 species
UACGGAGGGGGCUAGCGUUGUUCGGAAUUACUGGGCGUAAAGCGCACGUAGGCGGCUUUGUAAGUUAGAGGUGAAAGCCCGGGGCUCAACUCCGGAAUUGCCUUUAAGACUGCAUCGCUAGAAUUGUGGAGAGGUAAGUGGAAUUCCGAGUGUAGAGGUGAAAUUCGUAGAUAUUCGGAAGAACACCAGUGGCGAAGGCGACUUACUGGACAC